CCACUUCUCUCUAGGUUCAGGAGAGAAACCAUCACUGCACACGAUGCUUUUCCUCCCAGCUGCUGCUCUGUGCUGUCUGUGUUCAGAUUCACCAGAGGAAACGUCACUGAACACAACGGUUCACACAAUGCUUUUCCUCCCAGCUGCUGCUCUGUGUUGUCUGUGUUUAGCGCUGGUUACCAUGGCCGCAGAGCUGAUGCAGAAAGAUUUAACUUUGACUGCGACACCUGGCAAAAAAGUCUCCUUCAGCUGUGGAACUGCCCAGUGCAGUGGCAGCUAUGUGCACUGGUACCAGAAGAAAGACGAUGAUAAGUUCAGAGUGAUUCUUGAUAUUAACAUACGCACUGGUGAAGUCGACAGUGACUACAACCAUGCUCAGAAAAAAGAUUUCUCAGCUGUGAAAAACGAGAACAGCUGUGAGUUGGAGAUAAAUGCAGUUAGCCUCGUUCAUUCAGCCAUCUACUACUGCUGCUGUGCUCAAAGCUCUCACAGUGACAAAAGAUCCCUGCAGACUGAACAAAAACCAUCAAAGGAACAGCAGCAGACCACAGACCAGACCGUUCAUUGAUUCCAGACAAUCGCUGUCAGCUGUGUCCACCAGGCUCUCCUGACACUGCCCCUGAACUCCUGUGCAGCUGAGCCACAGACUACACGCCCACCACAGCAAAUGAAUCCUGUUACAGUGCUACUCCAUCAAAACAUUGUUGAGAAGUUUAAUUCUGAAUGAAGCUGCCAACCUGCUGUUUGGACAAGAAGAAACUUGUGAAACAAAGGUCAGCUCAGGUAGCUCAUCAUCUGGAGGCAGAAGUUAUGCAGAAUAUUCAGCUUCAUGCAGUUUUUACAACAUUAAUUCAUCUCGACUAAACCAAAUCAUGGAGCUGAAAUACACUAAUCAGACCUUACAAUAUGACCACGACAGGUGACAAGAUUAUCUCUUCAUCACAGCACCUGUUAGUGGGUAGGAUAUAUUAAGGAGCAAGUAAACAUUUUCUCCUCAAAGUUGGUGUGUUAGAAGCAGAAAAACUGGGCGAGUGGAAGUAUUUGAGUGAGUUUGACAAAAUGGUGAUGGCUAAGUGACUCUAAGACUCCAGACAACCGGGCUUUUUCAAAAAUGCAGCGUUUGUGGAGUGUUGCUUCGGUGGUCACUAUGCAUUAAAAGUGGACCAAGGAAGAAACAGUGGUGAACCAGUAACUGAGCAUCUGUGGGAUCUACAGGACAAACACGUGUGAUCCAUGGAGGUCCUUCCUCACAACUUACAGGACUUCAAGGAUCUGUUGCUAACAUCUCAGUGCCAGAUAUCACAGCACAUCUUCAGGGGUCGAGUGGAAUCCAUGCCUCAGGACUGUUUUGGCAGCAAAAGAGGGACCAACACAAAAUCAGGCAGAGUCAUAAUGUUACGUCUGAUCGGUGUAUGACACUGCUUUACCUCAGCUGUCACAUUCAACAUCAGACAGGUUUUUGUACUGGUCUGUGUCACUGUGUGAGGGGACAGGAUCUUUGGCUCUGGAGUUAAACUGUACGUAACAGAUAUGCCGGUAGCGAAGCCCUCGGUGACAGUGUACCAAGCAGCAUCCAGUGAUCAUCUGGAGGAGAAGAGAUCCCUGCUGUGUGUGGCCUCACAAAUGGUUCCUCCUGUGGUCCAGAUCACCUGGAAAAGGCAGGAACAGGACGGAUCUUCGCUGGCAUUGACCCCUGGUGGCACAGAACAGCUGGACGUCAUAGAGUCCGAUUACACUGCCAGCAUCUUGUUGAUCCAUCAGCGAGACGAGAACUCACAUACAUAUGACUGUUCUGUCA